GCUAGUGUUUGGAUCCCCAAGGCGCCCGUUAUCUCCCUUCAGUUUGCCUCUGGUCGCUGUUACGUGAGGACGUUAACAGCAUCAUCGGGUGCCUUAUCAGCAACCACGGGCAGUGCCUAGAUUUUAGGCACAUGACUACCUACUUUUUCUUUUUUUUAAGCACAACUUGCCAUCAGAACAUGCAGAAGACUUCUAUAGAUUUAACGUUGAUACCGUGAUGAAAGUGUAACGUAGGGUAGGUGAAGAUGUGUGUGGUUUUUGUGGCGCCUCGAGCGACGCAUAGAAGAUCGGUAUGUGAUGGGUAAAACACCCUUUUCUUACUCUUAGCUGUAGCAUUAGUGGAGACGCAGAGUCCGACAGGCGUUUCUGACUAUCUCGUACCCACGAUAGAGUGUAUGUCAGCUUUUAGUAUGUCUCUUUUGUGCUAAGUUACAGGAGUGUUUAUGAGGGAAAGGGGGAAAGCCGUGGCCCUCGUGGGGAACUUGGGGAUUCUGUGCGCGCGGGUUGGGAUACAGCUUCGGUCUGGUGCGAGAUUGUUCAGUGCGCCUGGUCUCCUUGUUCGCAAAAUUGUAUUUUUUUUUUUUUUAACCUCAAGAAUUAUAUGUAAUGUGUGCAUUGGGCUCUGUGUUCUUCGCUGGUCAGGAUUGCUGUGUGAUCGGGAUAGUGAAGGCCUCUUCUUGGAGCGGAUGUUGUGUUCCGAGCAGGGUUCUUCGCUCGCUGUGCCUCAGGUGCUAUUCAUUAGCUUAUAGCUUCAGGGAUUUUGUAGCUAUAUAUACGGUGUGUUCUGUGCUUACUGUGCAUUUUAGCUUUCCUCCGUUUAACAAUUAAAAUCAGAUAAUGUAAUCUGGUGAUUAUAUAUAAAUAUUUUAAGACAUUCCGUAUACGAAUACGAUGAUUUUUUAAAUUAAAUGGAUCACUGGACAUGCGUCUGAUUUCUCAUUUUUACUGUCUCGUAUCUUCCCACGCAAUUUCAUAAAAUCUCAAAAAUCCAGAUAAAAACCAGUAUCUUCCCUGAAAUGCACAGUAGUGAUUCCUCUUGCUCUGUCCUUCCUUUUUAUAGAACGUAGUGUUUAGAGUAGUUCUCUCCGCAGCAUAGCUCAGGCUUAGUGUGCAAGGGUAUUAUAGCUUACUCUCUUAGCCUAGACAUAGUCCUAUAGUGUGCUGCACUGCCGGAAUCCAGGGAUGAAGAAACUUCCUGCUCGUCACUAGCGCUUAUAUAGAUAACGAAUAUAUUAAAAUUAACGUAGUCCAACUGCUGCGUGCAAUAGUUAACGAUAGGUCGGGCACGCGACUGGAAGAGAGCAGCCAGCGGAUGGAGGACUCGAUCGGAAAAGCCUGGAGGAGAGCUGAAAGGAGACAAGCCACGAAGAGAUGUAUAUCGUUACAAUUUAACUGUUAAUGCCACAGCAGUUGAAGUGUAUAUAGGACAGGAGUAGUGUCAGGAUAUCGCGUGCAGCCGUAGCUGGUUAGGUACAAGCUCAGCUAGGAUAGACAGGUAACGAAUUGCAGUGCGGUAUCUGUAGUGCACUGUGUAUGUCGCGAAAGGCAUAUAGCUACAGGAUAUUGUCUCAGUGGUUGCUGUAAAGAGGUUCUCCGCCACUAGAAUAUGAUCCAUUUCAGUGGAUGUCGUUCAUGCUAGGCUUAGCUUGGAUGUUUUCCGUUCACGAUAUUGAUAUUUGGUAUCUGUUCCGACACUGUGUCCUCUGUCCGUCUUUGUGGUUAGGUUUGCGCAUCGCAUUGUGGUCGUCCAUGAAUGAGUUGGACAUUCCCUCAUAAGCUGGACAUUCCCUAAAGUUGUGCGUUAUCAAGGGUCCAUUAUCAGUCUGGUCGAAUCUUGUGCAAUGCAUGUUCAGGUUGGUUAUUGGUUACCAGUUGCGCGUGGCGCGUCCGCCGAUAAGAAACGUCCUCCGACCUUCUGCGUUCUUUGGUUUGACUUCGGUUCUCUCUUAUCGGGAUAUCCCUAUCUUUCUCCACGUAUAAUGUCCUCCCAUUCUGGUCGUUAGCCUGUGUCGGAACCUUCUGCUUUUGAAUCUCGAACAGCACCACUGAGCAAUGUCAGAUAGGCUAGUGAGGUUUAGCUGUAAGAAUACCAUACUCUAUAUCGCGUUAAGUUGUAUGAGGAUUAGAAUAGGAGCACCUGGGGUACAGUGAUGGAAACGUGAGCCUGGCACAUGGCGUUCUUUCUGGAUUCACUCACAAAUAAAUACGCCAUAAGUGAAACUCAUUUCUGAGUCUAUUUCUAUACCAGUAAUACUAGCAUAAAAUGUAAUAUUUACCGAUUACUCGUUUUUAUCAUAAAUUAAAAAAAAUAAACGUUCAUGGCCAUGUGCGAGGCUCAUCACAUGGUCGUCAGCUCUGUCUCGCUCAGCUAUGAUAUAAGUCUGAAAAUGACGCACUUGGUCUCGGGGUAUACGGGUUGGGUGAGAGGCUGUCCACGAAGAUAUACAUACAGCCGUAUAUAAUAAGGUUAGGUGCAGCUUUUAGCUUUACCAUUAGUUUGUCUGCAAAGACGAAGAAGGGCACGGCUCGCGGCGACAGUGAGGGGAGUAUAUAUACUUUGGGAAUUACGAGUGUCAUGUACGCGAAUUCAUAUAGUGCUUGUGUAAUGAUGUUGCGGGGUUGUGGGCCCCUAAAUAUAGCUACGAUAGCUCGCACCGCGUGGUACCCCGACAGAGGCACCUUCGCGGUCGUCUCUCGUCGGUAAGUAUGUCGGACACACUAGGCUACGACUACCAUGGGGAAUAUACGUGGGAAUGGAAGGCUCGCCACCGUCAUACCGGGCUCGUCCGCUGGUCUGGGUAGGUGUAGGCGCGAAACACUGGGACGGGCGCAUAUAUUUCUGGCAGCCGUUUAGGGCAGGGUCUGGAUUUACUUAGGUAGACGGGAAAGCGGACGGGUGCGCACUGCGACCGGUUAGCUUUUUAUGAUUGUAUUAAUGACAGCCGUGGCGGUGGCGGUCCUGGGGUGUCUUCUGUUCGGGAGUACGUAGGGAGUAAAGAUGGUUGUCGUUAGGGAGUAAGAUUUCGUCCCUGGGUUUUUCUGAGUGUGUUGCGUGUGUGUAGGUGUCAUAAAUGAUAGGGGAAUGACAGGAAAAGCGAGACAAUGGAAGGAGAUGGUUAUGAGUGGAAAUUAUUAGUUUAUACUAUAGCAAAAAAUAAAAAAUAAAAAAAAAUGCAAAGUGUUGCUUUGACUUCGUAGUGUGACAAUUAGUAAUGUAAUUGAUAUAAACACGAUUCCACUCGUACACUAUCUCCUUCGAGGAACACUGGUCAAUCGGCCACUGGGAAACGCAACAGUAAGUUGUACCGCCGUGGGACAUUUCGCCGCGGACGUGUGGCGGCGCUGGAUGGAAGCACGGACCUCCCGCCGCUGGAAAACCCGCUAGCUCGGUCUCGAUUAGUGGUUAUCGGUGAGAGAGUCCACACCAGCGCGAGUGAGCACAUCUGCUGUGCUCGUGUCUUGGGUUCGUACCUUCGGGACGAGUCUCUGGCCGUGGAUGAUCCCUCCGUAUAGCUGCUGAUCGCCACACACAUAUGCACAUAUAUCAUCUCAUUCAUGUUUAGCUGUAUCUUCGUAUGCGGUCGAGCCUAGAUCCUCUCCAAACAUCUGUGUGUGUGUUAGGCGGUGGAGUUGGACUGCUCGGCAUAGAUGCCCGCCCGUGUUAGGCUUAGCUCGCGUACGUUCUCUUUCAGUGCGAACAUAGCGAUUGAAUAGAAAUAAAAAAAUUGAAGUGUGUUUUAAUGUGUGAUGUUUGGAAAAAAAAGUGUGUGUCUGUGUCACUUUACUCGUCUUAUGUAUUGCUGGGGGGGGAUUCAAUAUAUAAUAAUAAUAUAUAUAAUAUAAUAUAUAUAAUAAUAUAAUAUAUAUAUAUUUUUUUGAACUAUAUAUAUCGAAUCGUCCUCGGCGAAGGAUUGACGGAGCGCGUGCGAGUCGACUUAUCGCUAUGGCUUAUCGCUAUGGCUUAUCGCUAUGGCUUAUCGCUAUGGCUUAUCGCUAUGGCUUAUCGCUAUGGCUUGGCUGGAUUAAUUUUCGGCUGCUGUAUACUAACCUCUUCCUCCUUUUCAGCAUUUCCACAUUGUUUCGAUGUGGUACACUAAUCGUUCUGCUUGUAUUUUUCAGGUUCUCGCCAUAUAUUUCCCCAUAUUAUGUUUUAAUUUAUCCGCUAUGUUUCGCUGGAACUGUCUCCCACGCAAUUGGUUGCCCGUCGAGAAUAAUAUUGUGUCAAGGACACAGGAAUUGGAGGAACCGUUUAUUCAGGCUCUAGAGCUAGAAGCGAGAGCAAUGGACGAACGAGAUAACGAUGAUAGCACAUCUUGUGCCUCACAAUGGCAACAAUUCAGAGAUUUUAUUUAUUGAGAGAUAUAUUCAACCACAGGAAGUAUUUGGGACCAGAAGAAGCUUGCUUUAAAAAAAAAUCAUUUUUAUAAUUGAUAAUGAUAAGUAGGUUAGAUAUGGGUGUGGUGUUCCUUUUUGGUUUUUCUUUUUCGUUUUCCAGAGUGAUGGUUCCACCAGCCCAUGGUCUCGGAAGAUACCCGACUAUGGAGUGCAGCCGUUGGUUCUCUAGCAUCGACAGAUGUGGUGAUAUUUUUUCUUUCCUUCCGUAAGAUUAGAAGGCAGCCAAGAUUCUAUACUGAAAUGCCUCUGAGGCUUCUGGAAGAAAAUGCUCCAUGGAAGAAAAUGAUUGCUGCAUCUUUAGGAUAGGUUGAACUCUCAUGCAAUUAGUUGCCCAUCAAGAGCAAUAUUGUGGCAAGGACACAGAGAUCGGAGGAACUGUUUAUUGAGAUCAGAGUAGCUAGAAGAAGCAAGAGACCAAGGGAACAAACGAGAUGAUGCACACGAUGAGAUAUGAUGCUCACGAUAGUACAUCUUCUGCCUUAUAAUAUCAACAAGUCGGAGCUUUUACUCAUUGAGAUAUAUUCAACCACAGCAAGAACUUCGGACCAGAGGAAGAAGAAACUGACUUUAAAAAAAAUCAUUUUUAUAAUUGAUAAUGUUAAGUAGGUUAGAUAUGGGUGUGGUGUUCCUUUUUGGUUUUCCUUUUUCGUUUUCCAGAGUGAUGGUUCCACCAGCCCAUGGUCUCGGAAGAUACCCGACUAUGGAGUGCAGCCGUUGGUUCUCUAACGUCAACAGAUGUGGUGAUAUUUUUUCUUUUCUUCUGUAAGGUUAGAAGGCAGCCAAGAUUCUAUACUGAAACGCCUCUGAGGCUUCAGGAAGAAAAUGCUCCAUGGAAGAAAAUGAUUGCUGCAUCUUUAGGAUAGGUUGAACUCUCAUGCAAUUAGUUGCCCAUCAAGAGCAAUAUUGUGGCAAGGACACAGAGAUCGGAGGAACUGUUUAUUGAGAUCAGAGUAGCUAGAAGAAGCAAGAGACCAAGGGAACAAACGAGAUAUGAUGCUCACGAUAGUACAUCUUCUGCCUUAUAAUAUCAACAUGUCGGAGCUUUUACUCAUUGAGAUAUAUUCAACCACAGCAAGUACUUUGGACCAGAGGAAGAAGAAACUGACUUUAAAAAAAAUCAUUUUUAUAAUUGAUAAUGAUAAGUAGGUUAGAUAUGGGUGUGGUGUUCCUUUUUGGUUUUUCGUUUUCGUUUUCCAGAGUGAUGGUUCCACCAGCCCAUGGUCUCGGAAGAUACCCGACUAUGGAGUGCAGCCGUUGGUUCUCUAACGUCAACAGAUGUGGUGAUAUUUUUUCUUUUCUUCCGUAAGGUUAGAAGGCAGCCAAGAUUCUAUACUGAAACGCCUCUGAGGCUUCUGGAAGAAAAUGCUCCAUGGAAGAUGAUUGCUGCAUCUUUAGGAUAGGUUGAACUCUCAUGCAAUUAGUUGCCCAUCAAGAGCAAUAUUGUGGCAAGGACACAGAGAUCGGAGGAACUGUUUAUUGAGAUCAGAGUAGCUAGAAGAAGCAAGAGACCAAGGGAACAAAUGAGAUAUGAUGCUCACGAUAGUACAUCUUCUGCCUUAUAAUAUCAACAUGUCGGAGCUUUUACUCAUUGAGAGAUAUAUUCAACCACAGCAAGUACUUUGGACCAGAGGAAGAAGAAACUGACUUUAAAAAAAAUCAUUUUUAUAAUUGAUAAUAAGUAGGUUAGGUAUGGGUGUGGUGUUCCUUUUUGGUUUUUCUUUUUCGUUUUCCAGAGUGAUGGUUCCACCAGCCCAUGGUCUCGGAAGAUACCCGACUAUGGAGUGCAGCCGUUGGUUCUCUAGCAUCGACAGAUGUGGUGAUAUUUUUUCUUUCCUUCCGUAAGAUUAGAAGGCAGCCAAGAUUCUAUACUGAAACGCCUCUGAGGCUUCUGGAAGAAAAUGCUCCAUGGAAGAAAAUGAUUGCUGCAUCUUUAGGAUAGGUUGAACUCUCAUGCAAUUAGUUGCCCAUCAAGAGCAAUAUUGUGGCAAGGACACAGAGACUGGAGGAACUGUUUGUUGAGAUCAGAGUAGCUAGAAGAAGCAAGAGACCAAGGGAACAAACGAGAUGAUGCUCACGAUAGUAAAUCUUCUGCCUCAUAUCAAGUCGGAGCUUUUACUCAUUGAGAGAUAUAUUCAAUCACAGCAAGUACUUUGGACCAGAGGAAGAAGAAACUGACUUAAAAAAAAAAUCAUUUUUAUAAUUGAUAAUGAUAAGUAGGUUAGAUAUGGGUGUGGUGUUCCUUUUUGGUUUUUCUUUUUCGUUUUCCAGAGUGAUGGUUCCACCAGCCCAUGGUCUCGGAAGAUACCCGACUAUGGAGUGCAGCCGUUGGUUCUCUAGCAUCGACAGAUGUGGUGAUAUUUUUUCUUUUCUUCCGUAAGGUUAGAAGGCAGCCAAGAUUCUAUACUGAAACGCCUCUGAGGCUUCUGGAAGAAAAUGCUCCAUGGAAGAAAAUGAUUGCUGCAUCUUUAGGAUAGGUUGAACUCUCAUGCAAUUAGCUGUCCAUCAAGAGCAAUAUUGUGGCAAGGACACAGAGAUCGGAGGAACUGUUUGUUGAGAUCAGAGCAGCUAGAAGAAGCAAGAGACCAAGGGAACAAACGAGAUGAUGCACACGAUGAGAUAUGAUGCUCACGAUAACGAGAUAUGAUGCUCACGAUAGUACAUCUUCUGCCUUAUAAUAUCAACAUGUCGGAGCUUUUACUCAUUGAGAGAUAUAUUCAACCACAGCAAGUACUUUGGACCAGAGGAAGAAGAAACUGACUUUAAAAAAAAUCAUUUUUAUAAUUGAUAAUGAUAAGUAGGUUAGAUAUGGGUGUGGUGUUCCUUUUUGGUUUUUUUUUUUCGUUUUCCAGAGUGAUGGUUCCACCAGCCCAUGGUCUCGGAAGAUACCCGACUAUGGAGUGCAGCCGUUGGUUCUCUAGCAUCGACAGAUGUGGUGAUAUUUUUUCUUUUCUUCCGUAAGGUUAGAAGGCAGCCAAGAUUCUAUACUGAAACGCCUCUGAGGCUUCUGAGGAAGAAAAUGCUCCAUGGAAGAAAAUGAUUGCUGCAUCUUUAGGAUAGGUUGAACUCUCAUGCAAUUAGUUGCCCAUCAAGAGCAGUAUUGUGGCAAGGACACAGAAAUGGGAGGAAAGUGUUUAUUGAGGCAGGGCAGACCGCUCUGCAUAAUUUCCACCAGAAUUAAUCACUUAGUGAUGAACAAUGGUGAACAACAAUGAAUGUCGACCAACAUAAAACAAGGCGAGAUAGCUGGUGUGUAGAUGAAAUAGGCAUCAUUUUCUCGAGCCUGAAAAGCAAAGGGCACUGACAGAACGAACUGGACACUGGGAAUGAACCGACUGAACUGACCAUUGAGGAUAAUUUUAUGGCUGCCACUUCACAGUUCAUAGAUUAAUGAGCAUUCUUAAAGGCCAGGCAUUUUAAAAUGCUUUGUUUCGCUGUUUCUGACCUUUUUUCUAUUUCAGAAGCAAAUACAACUGGAGCCAUAUCAAGCACAUCUAGCAUCUUCCCUGCUUCGCUUAACUGGCCUUUGGAAGCUCUGGACACAGGGGCGACUAGCUCGGACUUCCCACGGGGGGCAAAUCGAAGUGUAUCUGUGGUGGGAGUGCAGCCAAAGGAGACAGUGAGACGUCUUUCCGAAGAGCCAGGAGCGCGGGGACUACCAGACUCCAUCAACGGUACAACAUCGAAGUGUCAACCUCAAGUGAACAUUUACUCGUGGAUAUUGUCUUUGUGCUUCAAGCACCUUCAGUCAACAGCUACAUGUCAUCCCACAGGACGUAACGCUGCAACUGCUUAGCACGCUAUGGACAACAUAUUGUUAUAUUGUUGUGUGGUUUAGUGUAGUUGUGUGUGGUUUAUAUAUUGGUUUAGGUUUAUAGUGUGUGUGACAAGUAUGCAAUUGUUUUGUAUCACGAACAAACUUGACCAGCGGAGCUGGGAGGUAUGGGGCAUUGCUCUGUACCGGCUGCACCUUCUGCUUGGUUUUCCUGGGUUUUCCUCGCAGACAGAGACGAAUGUGGGUGCAGUUCCCAUAAAGCCGGCCCAGGACGCACUUUCAUCCCCCCCCCAAUGGCAGCAACCGCAUGCCUUGGACGUCCAUGACGCAUCUUUUGCGUUCCCUUUAAGCUUCACUGCGACAUGGCUCGCACCGUGCAAAUGACAGUCGACCAUUUUGCAUGUUGCGUGGAUGUUUUGAAUGUGUGUGCAUGUCACGUGCGCACGUUGUACAUACCAAACCAGGACCCCCACCAAAUUAAAGUCUAAGAAACAAAUGAAUCAUUACUUUUAGCCAGUACAAAUUUAUUCAAUCAUCAAUCAGUCUCCAAGAUUCUGGUAUGGUAUUGCAACAGGCACGUGUCUGUGUGUGUGUGUAGCAUGUGCGUGUAUGUGCAUGAGCGUACGUACGCAAAUGUUGAUGUGUCUGUUUUUAACUCUACUAAACUGCCGUGGUUGAAUGUCAUUUGCCGGGCGGACUUUGCUGCAGUGAAGCGAUUAUUCGGUUCGGUUAUUUCAAAUGGUCAGGUUGGAUCCGCCUGGUUAUUUGAAAAGCAAUGUUUAAAUUAUACCCUCGACGCUGUGUGUGGCUUCACAUGCACUAUAUUAUGGUUGAAUAAUGUGCAAGGAUUUCUUUCUGAUAUUGAAUAGUUCAUUGGGAGUGUUUCAGUGAUGUGUAUUUUGUACAUGCUGAUGCUAUCUGAUUAUUGCGUGAGAUUUCUGUGUAUUAAGUAGUUCAUUUUGUAUGUGCUGAUGCUAUCUAAUUAAUGUAUAAUGAUUGACUUGUUGUGUAUUAAAUGUGUGUGAUUUUCAUCUUUCUGUACAUUAAAUUUCAGGUGCUUUGUCUAUCUCUUCA